rnacentral:rRNA from 1 species
UACGGAGGAUCCGAGCGUUAUCCGGAUUUAUUGGGUUUAAAGGGUGCGCAGGCGGGAUGUUAAGUCGGCGGUGAAAUUUUGCAGCUCAACUGUAAAAGUGCCUUCGAUACUGGCUUCCUUGAGUGUGGAUGAAGUAGGCGGAAUUUGUGGUGUAGCGGUGAAAUGCAUAGAUAUUACAAGGAACUCCAAUUGCGAAGGCAGCUUACUAAAUUACAACUGACGCUUAGGCACGAAGGCGUGGGUAUCAAACAGGAUUAGAUACCCGCGUAGU